UGGCACUUUCAGUGUCCGAGUUGUAAUCUCGAGAAGUGUUUUCCGCGCUGGACCGCAUAUAAGUCUGUUGGAAUACAGCGUCAUAGUGGUGAGAACCCCGUAAUUGAUGCGGACGCCCAGUGCUUUGUGAUACACUUUCGAAGAGUCGAGUUGUUUGGGAAUGCAGCUCAAAUUGGGUGGUAAAUUCCAUCUAAAGCUAAAUAUUGGCGAGAGACCGAUAGCGAACAAGUACCGUGAGGGAAAGAUGAAAAGCACUUUGGAAAGAGAGUUAACAGUACGUGAAAUUGUUGGAAGGGAAACGCUUGAAGUCAGACUUGCUGUUUGGAAUUCAGCCGCAAGGUGUACUUUUCAGAUAUGCAGGCCAGCAUCAGUUUUUGGGGGUGAAAAAGGGUAUGGAGAAGGUAGCAGUUUCGGCUGUGUUAUAGCUCUUUGCUGGAUUCAUCCUUGGGGACUGAGGAACGCAGCUCACUUUUUGCACGAUCUUCGGAUUGUUCUGAGCUUAGGAUGCUGGUGGAAUGGCUUUAAACGACCCGUC
rnacentral:rRNA from 1 species